GUCCCCGUAGCUCAGCGGACAGAGCGGCUGCCUUCUAAGCAGCGGGUCGCAGGUUCGAGUCCUGCCGGGGACGCCA
rnacentral:tRNA from 1 species